AUGGGGGACGCGGAGCGAGCGAAGUGAGCGAGCUGGAUAAUUCGUGUCCAGUCCCCGGAUGGAGUGAAGCGGAUCACAGCAACAAAGAGAGAAACAGCAGCAACAUUUUUGAAAAAGGUUGCAAAGGAGUUUGGCUUCCAAAAUAAUGGCUUCUCGGUUUACAUCAAUAGAAACAAGACCGGAGAGAUAACAGCCUCCUCCAACAAAUCCCUCAACUUGCUAAAAAUCAAGCAUGGCGAUUUGUUGUUCCUGUUUCCCUCGAGCCUUGCUGGGCCCUCAUCUGAAAUGGAGACGUCAGCUCCACCGGGCUUCAAGGUCUUUGGCGCUCCCAACGUGGUGGAGGAUGAGAUUGAUCAGUACCUCAGCAAACAGGACGGGAAGAUUUACAGAAGCCGAGACCCACAGCUAUGCCGCCACGGCCCUUUGGGGAAAUGCGUGCACUGCGUCCCUCUAGAGGCCAUGCUGCUGGCCUCUCCCUGUGCGUAGCAGAGGCUCGGCGCCUGGAGUGACCGGCACGUGUGAGACUGCACUCGCUUACUCUGUGUCUUGGCAGCCAUUCGAUGAG
rnacentral:sRNA from 1 species